rnacentral:pre_miRNA from 1 species
GCCGUGUCCGGCAGCUCCUGUCGCUCGCAUAUUGUCCGCCUGUCUCAGUGUGCGUGUGACAGCGGCUGUCGGCUGCGCGCC